UGCCAGACCCCCUGCGCCACGCAGACUUGAGCUGGAAACAGAAAAUGUUGGAGGAACUGAAGGACCAGUAACGACGGCUCGGCUUUGCGGAGAGAAGAUAACAGACGAGUCCCUCAUUCCCUCCCUCCCACCCUUCCCUCCCUCCCCACUCUUGGACCCCCACUUCCCUCUCUCCUCCGUUUUUAAAAGGCGUAUUUUAUGCUGCCAGAGAGAGCGGCACGACAGUGAGAGAGUGAGAGACGAUCCUAUCUGCCUCAAAGCCUUUCGCAAGGAUUCACAAGGAAGCGCUAGCCGGGACUGAGCUGGACUGGACCGUGGCAUUCCUUGGAGGAGGAGGAGGAGGGAGAGCCGUGGAUAUGGAGGACGGUGGGACACGGCACCUCGGCCAUGAGUGCAGGGUGGACAUGAUGGAAGAGGAGGGGGAGCCGCUGACCGGAGGAGAUGGACUGACCGGAGCUGGUGUCAUCCUGAUUCCCAAGCUGCCCCAUGUGGAGUUCAGCCUGGAGUGCAGGGAUCUGAUUGGCUCUGGCCGAGACAGGACACCCAAUGCUCUAGUCCAAGUUGCUGUCAUCGACCCCCGGGAACAAUACCUGGUCUCCCAAGCCUGCACAGAGAUAGUAGAGGGUAGCAGAGAUCCGUUGUUCCUGACAGGGGUGACCUUCCCUCCGGAGUACCCUGCCAGCCCAGAGACGCUAGUCAAGCUCACCGUCUACGAUGUGAGAGACAAGGCCCGCGACAAUAGCAGUUUCCUGGGCAGCGCUACGUUCUCCGUUAGCGACCUGCUGAGGUCAAAGGACGAUCAGCUGACCCUCAAUCUAAGGUCUUCUGAUGGUGUGUUGGCGGUGGGGACAGUGUUGGUGAGCCGUGUGAACAUGGGGGAGAUGGAGGAGGGGGACAUGGAUCACAUCACGGCCGACGUGCAGCAGGCCCAGAAGUGCACCUUAGUUUGUGAGUCAUCACAGGGAACCCCAAUCGACAAAGAUAAUAGCCCCCUGACGGGUGCUGUCUUUAAGAACCCGGUUUGUAAGGUCUACAAGUUCCAGACGGUGGAUAGUAAAUGGAUGCUGGUGAGAGAACAGAUGGAGGAAUGUACUCUGUCCUUCAGCAUCCCCAGACAGCUCCUCCACCUCUACAUCCAGGAAGACAUGAGGAGGAUACAGGAGCUGAGGGACCUUGGGGAACUGUCUCCCCACUGGGACAACCUGAGGAAGGAGGUGAUUGGCCGUUAUGGACAGGUGAUAGCUGCCUACCAGGAGACCCUGGCUGAGCUGAAUAAGAUCACUGGUACGACUUACUACAUGCACACAGGUCCGUCGUUCAAGCCGAGCUGCAGCAAGGCCCAGAGGUAUCUAGAGUUCAUCCCUAUCAACCUGCACACCCAGAGGAUGAGGGUGACGUGUCCCAGACAAACAGAUGCAUUCUAUGACGUGAUCACGGUGGGGGCCCCAGCGGCCCACUUCCAGGGCUUUAAGGGCGGAGGGCUGCAGCGACUACUGAGCAGACAUGAGGCAGAGAAGAAGAGUUUCAGCACAGCAUACCAGUGCAUCUACUACUCCCCGGAGCACACAGCCAAAGCCCAGGAGGUGUUGCACAGUGUGGGCCAUCUCCAACCUCUCAUCUCGGGCCUGGCAGACCAGCUGCUUCAGGCCGCCCAGCAGCACUCCAUGGCUGGGCUGAGGGAGGCACUCAAGACCCUGGCUGGAAAGACGGAGCAGUUUGUGCACGCGCUCAAAGACGAGCUGGUGAAGAGCGCCUUGCUGGCCCUCCACACUGCACAGCCCGGCUAUGUUACAAAGAACCAGAACCAGACCCUUCCAGGCCACCAGGGUCACAGCCACCAGGACCACCUUAGUCCCAGCCAGAGGGGUCAACAAGGCCAGAGUCCACCCCAGAACCCAGGCCACAGUCCUGGGCAGCCAUCGGCUACAGACAGCCCUGUGGUGGUGUGUAAUAAUGUGGAUGGUGGCUCCCAGACGGCUCCCAUCAGAGAAGACGGGCAGGCUCCUCUGAAGCGCCAGGACUCCAUACCGUGUCAUAAGGAGUACGACGAGGAGGAAUGGGACAGGGUGUGGGCCGACGUGGCGAAGAGCCUCAACUGUGUCAUCGCCAUGGUGGACAAGCUCCAGGAGCAGGAACCAAUCAACAACAACCAGGAACAACCAAUCCCUAAGCAGGUCCUGGCUGACGUCAUCACCUCCCACAACCCUGAAGGGGAUUGGCGGGAGCAGCUCUGCCCUCUGGUGGUGAGGUUGAAGGAGUGCGUCGCCGAGGUGGUGGUGCGGGCCAGGAGGGCCAUGACCUUCGUCCUGCUGCAGGAGGCGGCCUGCAGCAUCCCCCAGGGACUGUUCCUCAAGCAGAGGAGGGAUGUGGUCUUCAGUCAGGCGCUAGCUGCGUUGGCGUGUGGUUUCGUCAUGAGGCUGUACGCGGGGAUGGAGGAUAAGGGCUUCCUCAGGCAGCUCCACCUAGUGGGCCUGGUGGCACAGUUUGAAAGCCUGCUAAGCACCUACAGUGAGGAGAUUGGCAUGCUGGAGGACAUGGAGGUGGGCAUCUCAGACCUGCACCGGGUGGCCUUCAAGAUCACCCAGGCCAAGACAGACGACCCCUGUGACCUGCAACCUGUAGUCAUCGGCAGGCGCGACCAUUAUACUGUAGAAGUGCCAUUACCACGGCUGGCCUUCCAGACGUUACCCCAUGAGAUCAAAGAGGGCAAGGCGUUGCAGGUUUACCCGGUGCUCUUCAACGUGGGAAUCAACGAACAGCAGACAAUAGCAGACAGAUUCGGAGACAUCUCUUUGCAAGAGAGGAUAAACCAGAGGAACUUUGAGAUUUUAGACAGUUAUUACAAAUCACUAAGCGAUAAGGUGCCAUCAGAAUGUCUGCCAUGUUUUCAAACGCAGAUGGACUUGAAAGAUUUACUCGGAACCCUGGGCCAGAAUGUAGUGACGAAGAAGAGAAAGAAUGUGGAGAUACUGUGGCUCGCUGGAACGGUGAGGAUAGAAUAAGAUAUAUAACAAGUGGAUCCAUUCUUAUACGUCUGGCUUGACGUCAUUCAUGCAAACUUGUCAGCCUGCUAAUGUCCCUACAUAUGGAGGUUGAUACGUUGGUGCCCUGAGGAGAGGUUUUGAACUUGUGAAUACAAUGCACCUGCUACAAUGAAGACUUCAUAAGCAUAUUCGACAUCUGGCAGAAGACCGUGCAAGGCUCCAAAUAACCCUGAGGAUUUAGGGGAAAUCUCCCAGAGAAUGGGCAUCCGAUUACCUAAUCACAUAGAUCUGCCGACGGCUGAACGGGAUCAGGUUCACCAGCUGUAAAAGUGCCAAAGACAGGACGUCGAUGUCUGUAACCCUGGAGCAGUGUGCCCUGCUGAGAGACGAGCACCAGCUCAACAAGGAUUACUUCAUACGAGCCCUGGACUGCAUGCGGAGUCGGCUCACCCAGGGAGAAGUAGUGUGUCAGUGGGAUUCGGACCCCGAGGCGGCGUGCUCUGUAGCGGAGAACAAGCCGGCCUCGCGACACUUCUACCCCAUCGCCCUACUGCUUGUCAGCUCACACCUGCUGGUCGUGUGGUUAAUUUUAAGUCUUGUUUUUCUGCUUGCAAAAUAUCAAUAAAGUUGCUGACGAUGCCAUGUACUAACCUUGUGUGCGUCGGGUGGUGAUUUUUGUCUGUGCAGCUUGUUUUUUGGGAGGGAGGGAGUCUGGAAUUUGUGUGAUUUCAUUGAUUUUGCUUUGAAAGGGUAAUUGGGUGGAUACAUGAUUUAAUUUGUACAAUCAAACACAAGCUUUCGACUGUUAAUCCGACUAGCAGGCUUGAGGAUAGGAUGGAAUCGAUUUAGAAUGUAAGGGAUUAAGAAAAUAAAUUCUCUCCGCUAAGACAUAUUAGCUUUCUCUAUUUUCACAGAUACCAUUCUGUUGAACCCUGGAGGCGUUUUUCUCCCGUACUUUCUCUAUUUUCACAGAUACCAUUCUGUUGAACCCUGGAGGCGUUUUUCUCCCCUACCUAAAGCAUUGGCCAUAUAAUACUAUCAGAAGGACUGGAGAUAAACAGUUAUCUCUUCAUGUCAAUGACCGAGAACUAACGUUCUGAGAGCUAGCAUUGCGUUCUGGUUGGCUGCUCUGGCACAGGUACCAAAGUGCUAACAGCGUAACUGAAGCCGAUCACACUGUUACACACUCCAGUAUAAACUCCAAGCAGCUUGAGGGCACGUUCUUAUCAUAACCUCCAGUUGACCCCUGUCAGUUGAGGGACCCUCCUCUUCAUAGAGACUGAUUUAUUUACUAAGAUUCUACAUUUAGUAAUGUACUACAUCUCUUCAACGAUUCCUAUGUCCUCUGGAAUAGUGGAAGUGGAACCCCCUCACUCUUCUUCCCCACUCCAACUAUCUCCCCCUCUACUCUAAAGUAGAGCAUAGUAGGAUUCUGAUGAGCACGGGAAAAAUAGAGCCAUAUAAAUCAGUAGUGAUAUGCUCCAGGACACUUCAAAAGCAGUUGUUUUCUCUCUCUCCGUUAGACUGCUGUUAGUGUGUAUAGGCCGUUAGACUGCUGUUAGUGUGUGUAGGCGGUUAGACUGCUGUUAGUAUGUAUAGGCGGUUAGACUGCUGUUAGUGUGUAUAGGCCGUUAGACUGCUGUUAGUGUGUAUAGGCGGUUAGACUGCUGUUAGUGUGUUUAGAUGGUUAGACUGCUGUUAGUGUGUAUAGGCGGUUAGACAGAAUAGCAGUAGCAGUCUCUAAAACAGCAACUGUAGGAAUGAUCCCAGAAUGUAGGAGUGAUUUCAGCUGACAGUGUAGGCACAGUGCACAAACAUUUCUCAGUCUUAACUUGCCAGGUAUGGGAUGUUUACAGACUACAUGGCUAUGGACCGUUCUGAAUUUAUGGUCCGGAUGCAUGCAAAAAUGUGCCUAUUUACAUUGACUGGAAAUAAAUAUAGAUAGGCUGUCUUGCAGUACUUCAUUUUAGAAACUAUGAUGUUUGGUGUUAUAGCUCAGUGUAGCCAGUUGGAGAAAGCGAUUCGCAGGCCAAGAUAAAAUAAAUGACGUCUAUCUAUAUUUAUUUCCAGUCAAUGUAAAUAGGCACAUUUUUGCAUGCAUCCGGACCAUAAAUACAGAACGGUCCAUAGCCAUGUCUGCUCAGUCAGUAGCGCACAUCCCAUACCUGGCAGCAUGUCCAAGUGAAUCAUUUUCAAAUUCUGUCAACUCGUUUGGAUUUUAUUAGUGGAUAAUUAUCUUGGAUCUCCCUUCCUCCCUCCCUCUAGUCUGUAUAUAUAUAUAGUAUGGUCUGAUAUAGGCAAAUAAUGUUAGAUAGUCAUGUAAUGGACCACAUGAGAAUUUCUGGUAAUAUUUCCUCUAUCUGCGGCAGAAGGGGGCACAUUUUGAUCUUGCCUAGGCUGCAGAAUUGCUGGGACUUUGGUUGUUUGUCCCUCCCUAGACGUAGUUUGACAAACCCAGUUUUAAAUCAUUUGCACGGGCAUCAUGUUGCACCAAGAGCUCCAUGGCCAUUGAGAGGCCAUAAGGAGAGUAAGCUUGUCCAUGGUGGUCUGCGAACCCACGACCUUCCAGCUCGCAAUCAAAAUCCCAAUGUUGCCAUGUAACACUCUUGAGGUGAAAAAACGGUUUGUCAAUCUGUAUAUCUAAGGCUCUGGUCUGUCCUAGGAGUGGGGGGGAAAGGUAGGCAUGUUCUCUGCUAUACUACGUUGAAUUAUUAUUUUGGAUAGAGGGCGGAUAAUUUUUUUCAAGCGUUCAGGGAGGGUCAAGUGAAAAUAUAUUUGGACUAAAUUAGGGUCAUCCAUUUUAAUUUCAGAGAGGUCUGAUUUUCUCCAUGUAUCCCUUAUUAUGAAUAACGUACAGUCUCUUACCUUAGCUGUCCUACGUGUAAUACUUAACUGUUGGCCGUCUGUCAUCUGCUUCCCAUCUGUCCGUCUGUUACUCAGUUGUUGGUUGUUGUUUUCCAUAAUCAAAACACAGACCCCCUUUUUUGAGAAGAUUAUUCAUCAUUUCAUUUCAUUCUUCUUCCCUCCUUUUUGUCAUCAUGGCCACACCACCA